CCCUAAUUCCCCAAUCCCUAAAUCAAAACACAAUGCACGCACACGUUUAGAAAAGGAAGGAAACGAGAAACAGGGGGAGCUCGAGGGGGAAGAAGAAGGGAAGGAGAGGGAGAAGAGCGUGCCGGCGUUGCGCCCAGCUCAUCGUCGUGGAGCUGUUGCCGCUCUCAUCACGGGCCGUCGCUUGUUGUCGCUGCUGGGUUCUUCGUCAGUGCUACUGCAGACAAGAAGAGAAAGAGAGAAAGCCAGUGCGAGAGAAGAGGAGGAGGGGUGCUGUCUCGCGCCGUCACUAUCACGCCUUGUUGUCGUAGCUAUGGAGACCGCCACCGUUGUUGGAAUCGCGAACUGAGGAGAAAGGGAGAGCGACGAUGAGGGAGAUUGACGAAAGCCAGUGAAGCGCGUGAAAGAAGGGGAGCCAAUUUUCGUCAUCGCCACCGCACCCAGUCACCACCGGUGGAGCUCGCCAUCCUUGGAGGUGAAUCGGUGUUGCGUCCUUGCUGCCAGGGCCACCAGCGCUACUGCUACUCCUCAAAUUCCUCCUCUUUUCCUUUGGGGGUUUCUGCCUCAAAUUCCACCCCCCAACAUCACCAUCCUUCUUGUAUUCGUUGGGGAACUUCUUACUUCUUAGUUUCCUGAUUUUUUAGUGAUAUAUUCUUCUGUGUUGUGGAUAACUAGAUCAUGCAAUUUUAUAAGUCCUGCCCCCAUUUAGACAAUCUUAUGAGGCAUGCCGUUUCUUCCUUUUCUGAAUGAACAUCUGAAAUUUAGUCACCAUCUGAUUUGUUUUUACCUAGUAUUCAAUCCUGUUUAGCAGAAAGACGGAUAUUCCUUGCUCAUUAUCAGACAAUCACUUAUUCACAAACCCCUGUGGGGCUAAUAGUUUUAUUGCUGUCAAUUUUAUGAAAGUGAGAUCUAUAGUUUUAUAUAAUGGAUAAUGGAAUAAUUUGUAACAACCAGAUCCUAAAUUUUGAUAACUCUAGUCUUUAGGUAUUUGUCAUUUUAUCUCUAAGUGGUUGAGUAUUAUAUUGGUAUAAAUAGAGACAUUGGGUUAAAGAAAAGGCUUUUCCAGGCCAUAAUGCUAAGACAUAUCCUCUUGAGAUGUUGGCCUUGUGACCAAAUUAUUAUCAUUAUUAUGCACUUGUCUUCUGUAUAAUUUUCAGAAAGCUGUAUUGACUUGUAUUACUUGGGUGCUUCCCUUGCUAAUUUGCUCUAUUUUCAUUUUCAUUGGCGGGGUGCAAAGCUGAAUACGAUCCUAAGAGUGACUUAUUGGAUCAAGAGUUCAUGCUGAGAGGGAAAUGGUAUCAACGGAAGGAUGUAGAGGUAAACAUGAAAAAGUAGAUUUCAUAAUUUCAGUAAAGCUUUUUAAUGUUAGCUAUGUGAGAAUGUAAAUCUGUUUCUUCUUUUGUUUAAUUUUCCAUGAACAUAAAAAGUCGUGGCAAAAGAGUGAAAUAUUAGGCAGCCAAUUGUUGGCUUAAAUGUGGAUCAUGAACCUAUAAACUUAGUCUAGAGCUAAUAAAUUUCAGUGUAGAUUGGAUAUUAUAACUCGUAAGACAUUAGGACUUGUAGAUAUAUGCUUGAACAUGAUAGUUAUUGUGGAGUUAUGGCUUUAUGCUAAAAGAUAUACAGUUUUGUAACUUGAUUUUUCAUCUCUUGAAAUUAUAUUUGGAUGCCACACAAUGUGUUCCUUACUUAGAAUGUCAGCAUGAAACAAUUACUUAGUUAUUAAGUUUUAAAAAAUAAAACUAUAGUAGGAUGACACAAAUUCUCACAUUUAAAUUCCAAUAGAAGAUUUUUUUGUUGGAUUUGUAUCUCAAUGGGAGCUAUAACUAGGCAGGCUUUUAUCAUUCACUUUCUAGCUUCGACCUUUUUCUUUGGAAGGAGGGUUAGAAAUGGCUUGCUAAGCAACAAUGGGUUUGUAGGGAAAAAAACUUGGGUUUAGUUCACAGUUAAUGCAUUGUCAUAAUUAGUUGCUACCGAAGAGAUCUCAUUAAUUUGUUAAAUACUUCCUCCAUUAAGAUUUUGUGGUUAUUUGUAAGGAACUAAGGAUCAUAUAAAACGUAAAGGGAUUACAGUCCAUUAUAUGGUGGCUAAAAUGGCUUGUGAAAGAGGGUGUUUCCAUCAUUGUGAUUCUUGAGAAGUAGAUUUUUGUAUCUCUGUAGCACUAAGGAUUUCAUAUUAUAUUCAUGAGAAAAAAUUAUUUUAGUAAGUUUAUUUGUUGAAUUGGAAACUCAUGUAUGUUUUUGUUCUAAAGUGAAUCAAUUUUUUUCUCCUUGUUAAGUGCAUGUAAGGAUUCAACUUAUCAUUUUGACCGGUAUAUCAUGCCAUUAAUUAUGUGACUCUCUUCAGCCUUAUGUAUGGAGUUGAGGAUCCGUCAAUUACAGGGAUGGUUUUAGAUAGUUCAUUCUCUGAUUUGGUUGAUUUGAUGAUGGAACUUGUAGAUACAUAUAAAGUUCGUCUUCCAAAGUUCACUUUAAAGUUUGCAAUCCAAUACAUGCAAAGAGCAACUCAAAAGCUUUUAGGUUGCACUGAAGAAAAUCCAGAAGAAGGGAAAGGGUGCUGCCUAAUUGUUCUAUUCUCAUACUUGUAUUUUAGAUGAGAUGGAAUGAGUCUUAUAAUGACUUUAGUUAUCUACAUGUAAUAUUUUGAUGUCUUGUGUACUUUUUGAAACGAGAUUUUAUGUGUUAUUACAUGUAAUGGAUAAUUACACUAUUUUUAUUUGUGUUGUUUGGACUAAAAAUAUAUCUAGCUUAUAAUAAAAUUUUUAUGAUUUAGAUUUC